rnacentral:rRNA from 1 species
GCGCAAUGGGCGAAAGCCUGACGCAGCGACGCCGCGUGAGGGAUGACGGCCUUCGGGUUGUAAACCUCUUUCAGCACCGACGAAGCUAACGUGACGGUAGGUGCAGAAGAAGCGCCGGCUAACUACGUGCCAGCAGCCGCGGUAAUACGUAGGGCGCAAGCGUUGUCCGGAAUUAUUGGGCGUAAAGAGCUCGUAG